GGGAAUAUUGGACAAUGGGCGAAAGCCUGAUCCAGCCAUGCCGCGUGUGUGAAGAAGGCCUUUUGGUUGUAAAGCACUUUAAGCGAGGAGGAGGCUACUUGGAUUAAUACUCUAGGAUAGUGGACGUUACUCGCAGAAUAAGCACCGGCUAACUCUGUGCCAGCAGCCGCGGUAAUACAGAGGGUGCGAGCGUUAAUCGGAUUUACUGGGCGUAAAGCGUGCGUAGGCGGCUUCUUAAGUCGGAUGUGAAAUCCCUGAGCUUAACUUAGGAAUUGCAUUCGAUACUGGGAAGCUAGAGUAUGGGAGAGGAUGGUAGAAUUCCAGGUGUAGCGGUGAAAUGCGUAGAGAUCUGGAGGAAUACCGAUGGCGAAGGCAGCCAUCUGGCCUAAUACUGACGCUGAGGUACGAAAGCAUGGGGAGCAAAC
rnacentral:rRNA from 1 species